rnacentral:piRNA from 1 species
UGACACCCCACUUGUCCUUGUGUGU